rnacentral:rRNA from 1 species
UGUGAACUUAUACCUUACUGUUGCCUCGGCGCUAGCUGGUCCCUCGGGGCCCCUCACCCUCGGGUGUUGAGACAGCCCGUCGGCGGCCAACCUAACUCUUGUUUUUACACUGAAACUCUGAGCACAAAACAUAAAUGAAUCAAAACUUUCAACAACGGAUCUCUUGGUUCUGGCAUCGAUGAAGAACGCAGCGAAAUGCGAUAAGUAAUGUGAAUUGCAGAAUUCAGUGAAUCAUCGAAUCUUUGAACGCACAUUGCGCCCUCUGGUAUUCCGGAGGGCAUGCCUGUUCGAGCGUCAUUUCAACCCUCAAGCCUGGCUUGGUGAUGGGGCACUGCUUCUUACCCAAGAAGCAGGCCCUGAAAUUCAGUGGCGAGCUCGCGCCCUGAAAUUCAGUGGCGAGCUCGCCAGGACCCCGAGCGCACUAGUUAAACCCUCGCCCUGAAACCCCCUGGCGCUGAAAAUUUGACCUCGGAUCAGGUAGGAAUACCCGCUGAACUUAAGCAUAUCAAAA